CUAGGAUGGGUGACCUCCUG
rnacentral:siRNA from 1 species